ensembl:lncRNA
AAUGAUAGUUUGUACAAAGUUAAGACAUAAGCUUGCCCACAUGAAAGAUAUUUCUAACAGUAGUUUUAAGUCAAUCUUUAUGUCCCACUGAUAGCAUUAAUUGUUAACAGUAAUCUUUUGCAAAAUUCCCUCUAUAAUUUCAUAACACUGUGAGGCUUUGGCCACUUUUUAGGUUAAAGUCAUUUUUCAGUUUACAAUUUUAUUGUCAACAUUUUAAUACAAUCAUAAUCAUUACGCGAUCACACAUUUAAGAUUUAAACUGAAUGAGCUCGUUGUCUUGCAGUAAUUAUUUCUUUGCUGUGUUGAAACACCGAGUACUGUAACAGAAGAAAUGUUGCUUUCGAAUUGGUUUUACUGAGGCCUCAAGUAGAUAUGUAUAGAAAUUUUCUUUCUAUUGUAAAACAUGCAAAUAUCAAGAAACGAAUGUGUCUUUGUUCUUCAAUUCAUAACAGUAGGGGAACUUGUCUUUAUCUGAAGAAUUAUUUUUCAUAUUUAGGAAAAAAAGCUUGUGGCAACUGUCUUCUCUGAGCAGCGGUCUUGUGAACAUGGGCCUCAGUACAAUAAAGAGGACACUUCACACCCUACAACCCGUAAAAAUAACCCAGAUUCGUCAGAACUGCACACCCAUCUUAGGCCUACUGUACCUGUUUUACUUCAUGAUCACUGCAGAUACUUCUACAAUUGACCCACUUUGUAAGUUCUCAUAGUUACACCUUAAAAAAACACAUCAUUUUAGAAAAAAUACCUGUGUAUGUGCUGGUAUAUUACUGAGAUACCUUUAUAAAGAUUAAUGUUGAUUACAUAAGUAGUUCAAUUAAAAAUGAAAAAUGUGCCAUUUAAUCUCCCUCCUGUCAUUCUAUUCCAUAAAAAAGUCUGCAUCUUCAUGACACGAGUGAAGAUAUUUAUCCCAAUCUCUGACACCCAAAAAAACAUCAAAUCAAUCUAUAUGAAUGGAGCCGAUUAAUCUACAUUUUGGGCCAAACUGUUCAAUGAAUUGUAAGGAGCAGUUUCAGUUAUAUUUCCACUUGAACUCUGUUAGGCAUGGUCUGAUUAACUGUUCUUGAUCCAGAACUCUUAGCUGAACACGCUGAACCGUGCUGUAGAAUCCCUGGAGUGACGUCGCUGCUCAGGGUUGGUCGUUUGUCUUUUGCCUAGCCACCAGUUUCUCUGUAGCUGGCCAACAUGCAAUUUGAGUGAAGUAAACAAGUUAAUAGUAAAAUUAAAAGUAAUAUUUAAUCUUUCAUAACAUGGGUGCUAUUUACAUCAGGUAUGAUAUCUUAACUAUUGCAUUACUAAGGCAAUGACUGACAUUUAUGUUGCAUUUAAAAGAGCUUUGUUAACAGCCCAACAGUGAAAAAUUAAACUAUAUCUGUAUUGUCACAGCAUGGAAAGGUUAAGCAUUGAGAAUUAAGAAUGGUUUGGCCUGACAGUAGAAAAGUGGCUCAAGUCUUCAAAAGAGACAAGAUUGCUAUAUGAUCAACUGUUUAAAGUGUUGGGUAAAUAGACAUUCGUUUAAAGGACAGAAAUUUCUCAGAUUUCACUGAAAAUGUCUUUAUUUGUGUUCCGAAAAUAAACAAAAGUCAUGGGUGAGUAAAUGAUGACAUGAAUUUCAAGUUUGGGUGAACUAACCCAAUGGCAUGCCAGUGUAGGCAGGACAGAUAACACUGACAACUGAUCAUUCACAUUUCCCUGCUAAUAUUGUGUUUAUUUGGUUUUAUACAGGUGUCUGAUGUUGGUACAGUCUGGGCACUAGUAUCUGUUGGCUUGCUGACUAUCACUGAAGAUGAAGUACUUCUCCAAAUCUUCUCUGCCUUGACCCUGUGUCUUCUGUCAUCAUUGUUCAGUGUAGUACUGCAAAGAACAGUUUCCAGGGUCUACCUCCAACAUUUGCUUCUGGACCGCCAUGUGCUACGUUUGGAUUACUGGUACAUGUGGAUUACCCUGAUA